CUAAGUCCGUGUCUCCUCUUCUAUGCCCCACUCCCUGUCUCUGCGUAUGUGUCUCUUCUCUUCCUUUCUCCGUCUCUCUCUCUGGUCUUCUCUUGUUUAUGCCGUUGCCAUGGCAUCAAGGACAGCGCAGGCGCAAGGGAGGUCGGACGCCAGGCUAGGCUAGCUCGGCCUCUGAUUGGCUGUCUGGUCUGCCGUCGCGUCUUCGCUCUGCCCCCGUCCGCGCCGAUAGACUGCUGCCUUCUGGGCGUUACAGGUACCGCGCACGCGCAGUCUGGCCCGACGCCAUCGCGGCGGGCUCCCGGGGCAGCUUCGUCGAAGGAACGCAGGCUGGCGGCCGCGACGUACCGUUCCUGAGGUGCGAGUUGUAGCGGCCCGGCUCGUGUACGCGCGCAGCUGCGUUCCGAGGUCUGGACUCUGGCUAAGAUCCCAGAGCAUAUUGUUAUCCUUGGUCUGUCUCCCUCGGAGCCUCAAUCCCGUGAACUCACCCUCCACAACAGGCGCUUUGCAUGUUUGGAAAGAUGCUGCCUUUGGAGAAAGCGUUUGCCACCCCCAGGAACUCCCCAACUCCCCUGGAAUUGCCCACACUGGAGUCAACAGCUGGGGACCAGUAGGAGGGGCCCAAGACCAACCCUGGAAGGGCUCCUUGAGUUCUCCUGCCUGCACUUCCAGAACUUUUUCUACCAGGAGGUGGCUCGGUCCCACCAGGCCCUGGCCCGGCUCUGGGACCUGUGUUGAGACUGGCUGCAGCCUGAGGUGCACUCCAAGGAGCACAUGAUGGAGCUGCUGGUGAUGGAGCAGUUCUUGGGCGUCCUGCUCAACAAGCUCCAGCCCAGGGUGGUGGCAGAGCAGCCCAAGAGCUGCAAGAAGGCAGCCUGCCUGGUGGAGGACCUCACCAAGGCCCUGGCGGAACCAGGUGGGCCGGCGAGAGCCAGCGAAGACCCAGAACCCAGUAAGACCCAGGCACCCCCGAGACCUGUGAGUGACCAGCCAGCUCUUGGGUACGUGUGGUGGGCCAGGGUCUGUGGUUGGGAAAGGCCAGGAGGGAGACAUUGUGCUAGUUCUUGAGGGAACCCGAGGGAAGCCAGGUAGCUGAGGCCUGGAAGUCUGUGCUGUAAUUCCGACUUCUCCCCACAGGCUCUGUGAAUGUCACGAGUAUUAUUUUUAAUUAAAUUCCUCUUCAGAGAUGAUUCAAAUUGUACGUGCUUAUCAGAAACAGUGAAAAGCAUCAAGGUAUAAAGAAGAAAGUAACAAUCUCCCAACUCCCUCACACCCUCUGCAAAUCACAGCAAGGUGCGCACCCUGGCAUUUGCCCCUUCGUGUUCUUUUGUACAUCUCACCUGAGUGCGCACACAUCUCACCCGUGUAUGCACACAUCUCACCCACGGGCCUGUGCAGAGGUUGGCAGCCCGUUUCCCUGAAAAUGAUGCCUGUAGCACUGGCUGUUUGCAUGGAGCAACCCCUCACGCACCCAGGCCCCUCCAGGCAGUGGCUCGAUAUCCAAUGGCAUCUCCUCACCUCCAUGGCGUUUCACAGGAUCCACCGUUCGUUGUCCUAGAGUGGGAACUUUGCUGCCGUUAAGGUUUUCUGCCUCUCCCUGUAAAUAUGCAGUGAAACGUCCUCAGACAUGUGCCUGGGUGUGGGAAGUUAGUUCUGUUUGGGUAGGGUGGGAUCCUCAGGACCAUUGGACAAAGGGCAUUUCCACGUGGUUUUCCGAAAGUUCUAUAGCAUAUAUGCACAGGGUGCCUAUUUUCCCACAUCUGUGCCAGCACUGCAUAUUGUUGCUUUUUAAGAUCUCUACCGACCCGAUGGGUAGAAAAAUGUGUUAUCUUCUUUUUGGCUUCUGUUUGAAUGUGUAGGGCCACUGCUGAGCUUGAGCUGCUUUUUGCUUUCUUCUUGGCUGUUCUGCUCUGUCAGUUGAGGACACGUGUGGGGUCAGUGGAACCCUGGGACCUGCUGUGAUGUGACCAUGCUGGGGCCUCCCUGACUGGCUUGGGGGUGCCCAGCUGUGAGAUCUACUCUCCUCAGCUUUGCCUUCCCUUCUCCCCAGUCUCUCCUGUUCCAGACCCCGUGCUUCUGGAACAGGAGAGCAUCAGGGAGGAGAAGACCAGAGAGGGCAGGCCCACAAAGGCUGAGCCAAAGGUGGGUGGGUGGGGACCCACUUGCCCAGCAGCUCACAGGGCCUGUCCCACCCUGUCUUAUCAACCUCCCUCCCUCCCUCAUCAGUGUGCUGCCAGCUGCCCCAGGGAGGCUAGAGGAUGAGGAAUGGUGUUGGGCUGAGGUUCCAGGGCUGGGCACCCAGGCUGCUGCCUCCCCAGGAAGCUAAGGGACGAGCCUGGCCCUGAGCGGUGGGUGAAGCUGGGGGAGUUCUCUGAGACCAGGGGGAGGGCUCUGACUUGAGCCGUCCCACUGCCUCCUGGGGAGUGCUGGCCAGGUGGCCCCUGACUGCAGGCUCCCCCCAAACCCACUUUGUGGUGACUCCAUGGCCUCUUCCCUGUCCCUCUGGCUGUGUCAGGUGGACCCUUAGUCCCCCCAAGGGUGCACUGUGGCUGCCAGCGGCAGCUCCCCUCCUCACCCUUCCUGCUGCGUCUGCUGUCCCCAAGUCCCACCUCCCACCAACCAGGACUCCUGGCCUCACCCGGCCCCCCACCCAGCAGCUGCCUCCCCACCCUCAUGCACCUUGCUCUUCUGCAUCGAGUCUCAGGUUUUGUUGCCCUUGGGCAUCACAGGUCCCUCAGACCUCCUGGGCUGGGCAGAGUACAGGGUCCCUGGCCACGUGGGCCACCUCUAGCCAUGUGCUGCCCUGCAGUACAUGAGCCUGGGGGGUGUCCCAAGGGAAGCCCUAGGUGGGCAGCACUUGCGGGGGGACCUUUGUGUGGAUCUCCCGUUCAUGGAUCUCAAGAGCCACGGCAGGAAGCUCUACACAUGCCAGAGCUGUUGGAAAACUUCCACUUCAGCCUGGCCCUGGCCAAGCACCAGAAUUCCCAUGAGAAGGAGAAAGGCAAUGCAUUGGAGAGUGCCCUAGGCACCCCCGUGCUGCAUGUGGAGCCCAUGCCAAUGGAGGAUUGGCAGGCUCCUGGAGAACAUGGGAGGUGAUGUUUUCCCUGUGCACUCUGAGGCAUAGAGAUGAGCCACUUUCUGUAAGUGCCCCCAGAGAAGGACAACUACCUGCCUGAAAUUUCAGAGUAACACAUUGGGCUCCUUCGAAACCCUUGCGUGGCUUCCUGCGAUGUCAGUGUGGAUUUAAGUCUGCUUGUUUUCUAAACGAGCUAAGGUGGCUGAAGCACUUAAACCCAGGAAGGGCCCACAUGAAGCCCUCACCUUGCAAACACAGCUGUAAAGAUGCUUACCUGUGAGCACAAGCCGCCAGGAGUGAAAGAAGACUGCUUUCUUCUCUGACCAUUUCAGCACCACCCACACAUUGGAACAUUGGUCUUUGCAAAGUGUACGAGUUGCCUUAAGUGUGUGAUUGCCAACUCUUUCUUGAAGUCAGUCUUGUCUGUUCCUCUUGUUAGAACUUCCCAGGGCUGCUGCUCAAGCAGAAAUCUUGCCUGCUGUUUUGUUUUUCUCGUAAAUAUGUGAUGGCAGGUUUACUUCUGAGUCCUCAGUAGCGUGCCAUUCUCCAGUUUAACUCACAUGGGUAUGGAGUGGCUUACAAAGAUCACAAAAACACUCGGAGCCUAGUAAUUGCAGUGUUUUCAAACUAUGUCUCAUCCCAUCAGUGAGUUGAAAAAUCAAAUUAGUGGGUGGCCACCGGCAUUACAGAGCAAUGAAAUAGAAUAAAUAGGUCAAAAUUCAUAAUGUAGUAAAGGCAAAUAUUGUUUUGUGAAACUUUUCAGCCGUACAUCUAAAUAUGAGAACUGGUUGCAAUGUAAAAUGUAUAUCUUACUAGGCAGGGAGUGGGGGUGACUGUGAUCAAAACCAGUUGAAAACACCAAUAAAGGUUGAUGAGAUCUGCCUGCGUGGGCAAGGGGAACUUAACUCCUUGGGCUACGUAAGGUGAUCUUUGAGUUUUGCAUUUAAUCUCAGGUUGCAGCAUUGUUUUCAUUGCCUGAGCAUAAAUUUGACUGCUUUCUGUGGAUAGAGAAACUGGUGCCUCUUUCUGUCACUGUGUUUGGGCAGGCAGUCUGUUGUGAUGGUGCCCGAAUCACGGGGGCUUAACAUAAUAAAGGAUUUAUUUCCUCACUCACAUCACAGUCUUGUGGUUGCUCUGCUUGAGUGUUAGUGGGUUCACACGGAGUGUCAGAGGGUAGCUGUGUUCAUAGGGAUAGGGGGAAGGUAAACCACAUAAAUGGAAACCUGGCAAGAUGGGAAUGAGUUCCAACAGGAAGGAGAUGCUUAAAUACCUUAUGUAAUGGACUGAGUUGUGUGCCACCUUGCCCGCCUUCCCUCCUUCCCCCUGCCCCCAGCUCAUAUGUGGAAGCCCUAACCCCUAAUUUAGAGAUAGUGCCUUAGGGAGAUAAUUAAGGUUAAAUGAGGUCAUAUGGGUGGGGCCCUAAUCCCAUGGGACUGGUGUCCUUAUAAAAAGGAAGAGCAGAGAUUGCUCUCUCUUGCCAAGUGUGCACAGAGGAAGCUAGGAAGAAAGGUCUCACCAGAAACCAACCCUGACAGCACCUUGAUAUUGGAGUUCCAGCCUCCAUAGCUGUGAGAAAAUAAAUUUGUGCUGUUUUAAGCCA